rnacentral:rRNA from 1 species
CCUACGGGAGGCAGCAGUGGGGAAUAUUGCGCAAUGGGCGAAAGCCUGACGCAGCGACGCCGCGUGAGGGAUGAAGGUCUUCGGGUCGUAAACCUCUGUCAGCAGGGAAGAACGAUCACUGUGCUAAUCAACAGUGUAUUGACGAUACAAGUAAAGGAAGCCGCGGUCAACGCCGGGCCAGCAGCGGCGGUAAGACGGAGGAUGUGAGUGUUAAUCGGAAUUACUGGGUUUAAAGCGAUCGUAAGCGGUAUGUCAAGUUAUAGGUGAAAGCCCCGGGCUCAACGUUGGAACUGCCGUUGAAACUGGCAGACUGGAGUGUAGUAGAGGAUAGCGGAAUUCGUGGUGUAGCAGUGAAAUGCGUAGAUAUCAGGAAGAACAUCAAUUGCGAAGGCAGCUAACUGGACUAUAACUGACGCUGAGGAGCGAAAGCGUGGGUAGCAAACAGGAUUAGAUACCCCAGUAGUC